UGGGGGAAUAUUGCACAAUGGGGGGAAACCCUGAUGCAGCGACGCCGCGUGAAGGAAGAAGUAUCUCGGUAUGUAAACUUCUAUCAGCAGGGAAGAUAGUGACGGUACCUGACUAAGAAGCCCCGGCUAACUACGUGCCAACAGCCGCGGUAAUACGUAGGGGGCGAGCGUUGUCCGGAAUUACUGGGCGUAAAGGGUGCGUAGGCGGUUUGGUAAGUUGGAUGUGAAAUACCCGGGCUUAACUUGGGGGCUGCAUCCAAUACUGUCGGACUUGAGUGCAGGAGAGGAAAGCGGAAUUCCUAGUGUAGCGGUGAAAUGCGUAGAUAUUAGGAGGAACACCGGUGGCGAAGGCGGCUUUCUGGACUGUAACUGACGCUGAGGCACGAAAGCGUGGGGAGCAAACAGGAUUAGAUACCCUGGU
rnacentral:rRNA from 1 species